rnacentral:rRNA from 1 species
AUUUUAUGGAGAGUUUGAUCUUGGCUCAGGACGAACGCUGGCGGCGUGCCUAAUACAUGCAAGUCGAGCGCGUGAAGCAGCCGGAUCCCUUCGGGGUGAAAGCUGUGGAACGAGCGGCGGACGGGUGAGUAACACGUGGGCAACCUGCCUGUAAGACUGGGAUAACCCCGGGAAACCGGGGCUAAUACCGGGUAAUACUUUUCUUCGCAUGAAGAGAAGUUGAAAGGCGGCUUUUCGGAGCUGUCACUUACAGAUGGGCCCG